GAUGAAGAACGUAGCGAAAUGCGAUAAGUAAUGUGAAUUGCAGAAUUCAGUGAAUCAUCGAAUCUUUGAACGCACAUUGCGCCCGCCAGUAUUCUGGCGGGCAUGCCUGUUCGAGCGUCAUUUCAACCCUCAAGCCCUCGGGUUUGGUGUUGGGGAUCGGCGAGCCUUUCUGGCAAGCCGGCCCCGAAAUCUAGUGGCGGUCUCGCUGCAGCCUCCAUUGCGUAGUAGUAAAACCCUCGCAACUGGAACGCGGCGCGGCCAAGCCGUUAAACCCCCAACUUCUGGAUGUUGACCUCGGAUCAGGUAGGAAUACCCGCUGAACUUAAGCAUAUCAAUAAGCGGAGGA
rnacentral:misc_RNA from 1 species